CGGGUGGUAAUACCGGAUGCUCCGCUCCAUCGCAUGGUGGGGUGGGAAAUGCUUUUGCGGCAUGGGAUGGGGUCGCGUCCUAUCAGCUUGUUGGCGGGGUGAUGGCCCACCAAGGCGUUGACGGGUAGCCGGCCUGAGAGGGUGACCGGCCACAUUGGGACUGAGAUACGGCCCAGACUCCUACGGGAGGCAGCAGUGGGGAAUAUUGCACAAUGGGCGCAAGCCUGAUGCAGCGACGCCGCGUGCGGGAUGGAGGCCUUCGGGUUGUAAACCGCUUUUGUUCAAGGGCAAGGCACGGUUUCGGCCGUGUUGAGUGGAUUGUUCGAAUAAGCACCGGCUAACUACGUGCCAGCAGCCGCGGUAAUACGUAGGGUGCGAGCGUUAUCCGGAUUUAUUGGGCGUAAAGGGCUCGUAGGCGGUUCGUCGCGUCCGGUGUGAAAGUCCAUCGCCUAACGGUGGAUCUGCGCCGGGUACGGGCGGGCUGGAGUGCGGUAGGGGAGACUGGAAUUCCCGGUGUAACGGUGGAAUGUGUAGAUAUCGAAAAAAAACACCA
rnacentral:rRNA from 1 species